rnacentral:rRNA from 1 species
UACGUAGGGUGCAAGCGUUGUCCGGAAUUAUUGGGCGUAAAGAGCUCGUAGGCGGUCUGUCGCGUCGGCUGUGAAAACUCGGGGCUCAACUCCGAGCUUGCAGUCGAUACGGGCAGGCUAGAGUUCGGCAGGGGAGACUGGAAUUCCUGGUGUAGCGGUGAAAUGCGCAGAUAUCAGGAGGAACACCGGUGGCGAAGGCGGGUCUCUGGGCC